CAACGACAAAAGAAACAGAGGCUGCAGCAAUGUAGUGAAAACAAGAGCAGAAAAGAGACAGCUUUCAACUCCUGGUUCACUGCCUCGAAUGACCACAACAGUCAGGGCUGGAGUAAGACAAAACCAGAACUUGGAAUUUCAUCUAGGACUCCAACACAGGUGGCAGAAACCCAAGGACUUGAGCCAUUGCCACCUGCUUUUCAGCAAGUGCACUAGCAGGAAGCCAGGUCAGAAACAAAGCAAAGGCUUGAACUCAGGUACCCUGCUUGGGAUGCAGAAAAACAACAUUCUGCAACAUUUUGAAGCCUUCGGGUGUGUGCCUGGCAGAAAGGGGAGGGACCCAAUAAUGUGACCACUGAUUAGCAGGGUGAAUUCCAAGUCACUGCUCUGAACGACUCACAUGGAGGCAACAACUGCGCCGUUGUCACUAGGAAGAAUUAACAACAGUGUAUAUAUAACACCUGGGCAUUUCUGGGAACUAUGUGACAUAAUAUUAAAAAAGGCCUCUAGCUCCAGA